rnacentral:rRNA from 1 species
GGGAGCUUGCUCCCUGAUGUUAGCGGCGGACGGGUGAGUAACACGUGGGUAACCUGCCUGUAAGACUGGGAUAACUCCGGGAAACCGGGGCUAAUACCGGAUGCUUGUUUGAACCGCAUGGUUCAAACAUAAAAGGUGGCUUCGGCUACCACUUACAGAUGGACCCGCGGCGCAUUAGCUAGUUGGUGAGGUAACGGCUCACCAAGGCGACGAUGCGUAGCCGACCUGAGAGGGUGAUCGGCCACACUGGGACUGAGACACGGCCCAGACUCCUACGGGAGGCAGCAGUAGGGAAUCUUCCGCAAUGGACGAAAGUCUGACGGAGCAACGCCGCGUGAGUGAUGAAGGUUUUCGGAUCGUAAAGCUCUGUUGUUAGGGAAGACACAGUGCCGUUCAAAUAGGCGGCACCUUGUACGGUACCUAACCAGAAAGCCACGGCUAACUACGUGCCAGCAGCCGCGGUAAUACGUAGGUGGCAAGCGUUGUCCGGAAUUAUUGGGCGUAAAGGGCUCGCAGGCGGUUUCUUAAGUCUGAUGUGAAAGCCCCCGGCUCAACCGGGGAGGGUCAUUGGAAACUGGGGAACUUGAGUGCAGAAGAGGAGAGUGGAAUUCCACGUGUAGCGGUGAAAUGCGUAGAGAUGUGGAGGAACACCAGUGGCGAAGGCGACUCUCUGGUCUGUAACUGACGCUGAGGAGCGAAAGCGUGGGGAGCGAACAGGAUUAGAUACCCUGGUAGUCCACGCCGUAAACGAUGAGUGCUAAGUGUUAGGGGGUUUCCGCCCCUUAGUGCUGCAGCUAACGCAUUAAGCACUCCGCCUGGGGAGUACGGUCGCAAGACUGAAACUCAAAGGAAUUGACGGGGGCCCGCACAAGCGGUGGAGCAUGUGGUUUAAUUCGAAGCAACGCGAAGAACCUUACCAGGUCUUGACAUCCUCUGACAAUCCUAGAGAUAGGACGUCCCCUUCGGGGGCAGAGUGACAGGUGGUGCAUGGUUGUCGUCAGCUCGUGUCGUGAGAUGUUGGGUUAAGUCCCGCAACGAGCGCAACCCUUGAUCUUAGUUGCCAGCAUUCAGUUGGGCACUCUAAGGUGACUGCCGGUGACAAACCGGAGGAAGGUGGGGAUGACGUCAAAUCAUCAUGCCCCUUAUGACCUGGGCUACACACGUGCUACAAUGGGCAGAACAAAGGGCAGCGAAACCGCGAGGUUAAGCCAAUCCCACAAAUCUGUUCUCAGUUCGGAUCGCAGUCUGCAACUCGACUGCGUGAAGCUGGAAUCGCUAGUAAUCGC